UCACGCGUCCAAGCAGCCUGUCCACAUCCUCGGGGGUAACGGAUUGAAAUUGAUUCCAUGCAACUUGACCAGACAGGGCUCUAGCACUCUCCCGCCCCAGCCCUGCUCCCAUGGUGGUGUCUAGCUCCUUCCGAAUAUGAGUGAUUUUAUCUGCAAAAAACUUUGCAAAAUCGUUGCAGGAGAUCUUGGGGUCUUUACAAGGCCCCGGUGGUAAAGGUGGUUCCGUUAAAUUGCGGACCACCUGAAAGAGUCUCCUGCUACUAUUUUCUGCAGAUGGAAUAGAGGCGGUGAAGAAAGUCUUCUUCGCCGUCGCUAUCGCCACUUGGUAGGCUCGACGUUGAACUCUAACCUGUGUCCGGUCAGAUUUGGAAUGAGUUUUCUGGCGCCGACGCUCUAGCCGCCUAAGCAAUUGUUUCAUUGCCCUCAGCUCCGAAGAAAACCACGGGGCUGUCUGGGCUCCAUGCAAUUGGAUAGGGCGCUUCGGAGCCAGACAGUUGAUAGCCCUGGUUAACUCCGCAUUCCAGCAGGCCACCAGGGAAUCAGCUGAAAGGCCUUCAACAUGGGAUAAAGCAUGCCCUACCACUCUCUGGAAACCAUUUGGACCCAUUAAGUGGCGGGGGCGGACCAUCCAAAUUGGUCCCACCUCCCUGCAGAGGGGAAGGGUCGCGGAGAAGUCCAGUUGCACCAGGAGGUGAUCUGACCAUGGCACUUCUUUUGUUUCACUUUUACUUAGUGUCAGAACACCCACGUCACUAGAGGUGAACACCAGGUCUAAGGCAUGUCCGUGACUAUGAGUUGGGCCAAACUUAUUCAGGGACAGCCCCAUGGAGGCCAUGCUUUCCACGAAGUCCCGAGCGGCCCCCUGUAAAGUCAUGUCGGCAUGGAUGUUAAAAUCCCCUAGGACAACCAAACUAGGUGUCUCCAGGAGAACAUCCGCCACGACCUGAAGCAGCUCGGACAGGGAAUCCUUGGUGCAGCGGGGAGGUCGGUACACCAAAAGGAAUCCUGUACUGCCCCUAUUGCCCAACUUCCAGAACAUGCACUCAGAGAACUGGGUCUUCCCAGUAGGACGCCUGAUGCAAGCUAAUGACUUCCUAAAAAUCACUGCAACCCCCCCCUCCCCACCCACAUGACCUGGGUUGCUGUGCAUAAGAGAAACCUGGUGGGCAAGCAGCGGCAAGGACAGGCCCAUCUGCUUCAUCCAACCAGGUCUUUGUCACACGUGCCAGGUCAAAUCCUCCAUCUACAAUCAAGUCAUGGAUGGCAGUGCUUUUAUUCAUCAUUGACCUGGCAUUACACAGCAACACCUUCAGGUCAUGUGGGUUUCCCCUGUUGAUUCCAGUAUCCAUCCGGUCAAGGCCAGACCCGGAGGCAGGGAUAGUCUUCAAACAACGACUAAACCUGCCUCCUCGAUAAUGACAUGCUCUGGUCUUAGCGUAACUCCUCCUCCUGCCCAUGAUCACAGAGAUUGGAUGUCCCAG